UACAUAAGAUGUUUGUUUUCG
rnacentral:piRNA from 1 species